GAUGAACGCUGGCGGCGUGCCUAAUACAUGCAAGUCGAGCGAACGGACGAGAAGCUUGCUUCUCUGAUGUUAGCGGCGGACGGGUGAGUAACACGUGGAUAACCUACCUAUAAGACUGGGAUAACUUCGGGAAACCGGAGCUAAUACCGGAUAAUAUUUUGAACCGCAGGGUUCAAAAGUGAAAGACGGUCUUGCUGUCACUUAUAGAUGGAUCCGCGCUGCAUUAGCUAGUUGGUAAGGUAACGGCUUACCAAGGCAACGAUGCAUAGCCGACCUGAGAGGGUGAUCGGCCACACUGGAACUGAGACACGGUCCAGACUCCUACGGGAGGCAGCAGUAGGGAAUCUUCCGCAAAGGGCGAAAGCCUGACGGAGCAACGCCGCGUGAGUGAUGAAGGUCUUCGGAUCGUAAAACUCUGUUAUUAGGGAAGAACAUAUGUGUAAGUAACUGUGCACAUCUUGACGGUACCUAAUCAGAAAGCCACGGCUAACUACGUG
rnacentral:rRNA from 1 species